UACGUAGGGAGCAAGCGUUGUCCGGAAUCAUUGGGCGUAAAGCGUGCGUAGGCGGCCCGAUAAGUCCGCUGUAAAAGUCAACGGCUCAACUGUUGAAAGCCGGUGGAUACUGUCGGGCUAGAGUACGGAAGAGGCAAGUGGAAUUCCUGGUGUAGCGGUGGAAUGCGCAGAUAUCAGGAGGAACAUCCAUAGCGAAGGCAGCUUGCUGGGACGUUACUGACGCUAAGGCGCGAAAGCGUGGGGAGCGAACAGG
rnacentral:rRNA from 1 species